UGUUAAAAAUUUCUUUUAUUUGUACUAUUAAAAACUAGUGUAGUUCACAGAAUAAUCAAAUAGUGACACGUGGUAUGCUACAUGUAUCUCAUGAUGACAUAGAAGGACCAUAUUUUAAUAACAGAAAUGAAUGUAAUUUUUAAUA
rfam:Gossypium hirsutum cultivar TM-1 chromosome 12, whole genome shotgun sequence